rnacentral:rRNA from 1 species
AGAGUUUGAUCCUGGCUCAGGACGAACGCUGGCGGCGUGCUUAACACAUGCAAGUGGAGCGACGAACCAGGGCUUGCCCUGGGGCAAAGCCGCGAACGGGUGAGUAACACGUGGGUAACCUGCCCCGAUGACCGGGACAACCCGAGGAAACUCGGGCUAAUACCGGAUGUGCUCGCGAGCCACAAGGCUCGCGUGGAAAGGUAGCUUCGGCCUCCGCAUCGGGAUGGGCCCGCGGCCCAUUAGCUUGUUGGUGGGGUAACGGCCUACCAAGGCUGCGAUGGGUAGCUGGUCUGAGAGGACGAUCAGCCACACUGGGACUGAGACACGGCCCAGACUCCUACGGGAGGCAGCAGUGGGGAAUCUUGCGCAAUGCGCGACAGCGUGACGCAGCAACGCCGCGUGGGGGAAGAAGGCUUUCGGGUUGUAAACCCCUUUCAGUUGGGACGAAGCUCCGGCCGUUAAUAGCGGUCUGGGAGUGACGGUACCUUCAGAAGAAGCCCGGCUAACUAGUGCCAGCAGCCGCGGUA